rnacentral:rRNA from 1 species
AUUGAACGCUGGCGGAAUGCUUUACACAUGCAAGUCGAGCGGCAGCGCGGGGCAACCUGGCGGCGAGCGGCGAACGGGUGAGUAACAUAUCGGAACGUACCCAGUCGUGGGGGAUAACUAUCCGAAAGGAUAGCUAAUACCGCAUACGACCUGAGGGUGAAAGCGGGGGACCGAAAGGCCUCGCGCGAUUGGAGCGGCCGAUAUCGGAUUAGCUAGUUGGUGAGGUAAAGGCUCACCAAGGCGACGAUCCGUAGCUGGUCUGAGAGGACGACCAGCCACACUGGAACUGAGACACGGUCCAGACUCCUACGGGAGGCAGCAGUGGGGAAUUUUGGACAAUGGGGGGCAACCCUGAUCCAGCCAUGCCGCGUGAGUGAAGAAGGCCUUCGGGUUGGUAAAGUACGUCUUUCGGUCCGGG